rnacentral:rRNA from 1 species
AUUGAACGCUGGCGGCAGGCUUAACACAUGCAAGUCGAGCGCGUAGCAAUACGAGCGGCAGACGGGUGAGUAACACGUGGGAAUCUACCCAUCCCUGCGGAACAACUCUGGGAAACUGGAGCUAAUACCGCAUACGCCCUUAGGGGGAAAGAUUUACCGGGGAUGGAUGAGCCCGCGUUGGAUUAGCUAGUUGGUGGGGUAAAGGCCUACCAAGGCGACGAUCCAUAGCUGGUCUGAGAGGAUGAUCAGCCACAUUGGGACUGAGACACGGCCCAAACUCCUACGGGAGGCAGCAGUGGGGAAUAUUGGACAAUGGGCGCAAGCCUGAUCCAGCCAUGCCGCGUGAGUGAUGAAGGCCUUAGGGUUGUAAAGCUCUUUCACCGAUGAAGAUAAUGACGGUAGUCGGAGAAGAAGCCCCGGCUAACUUCGUGCCAGCAGCCGCUGUAACAC